GAUGAGCGCUGGCGGCGUGCUUAACACAUGCAGGUCGAACGGAAAGGCCCAAGCUUGCUUGGGUACUCGAGUGGCGAACGGGUGAGUAACACGUGGGUGAUCUGCCCUGCACUUCGGGAUAAGCCUGGGAAACUGGGUCUAAUACCGGAUAGGACCACAUUUUGGAUGGUGUGGUGGAAAGUUUUUCGGUGUGGGAUGAGCUCGCGGCCUAUCAGCUUGUUGGUGGGGUAAUGGCCUACCAAGGCGUCGACGGGUAGCCGGCCUGAGAGGGUGUACGGCCACAUUGGGACUGAGAUACGGCCCAGACUCCUACGGGAGGCAGCAGUGGGGAAUAUUGCACAAUGGGCGCAAGCCUGAUGCAGCGACGCCGCGUGGGGGAUGACGGCCUUCGGGUUGUAAACUCCUUUCGCUAGGGACGAAGCGCAAGUGACGGUACCUGGAGAAGAAGCACCGGCUAACUACGUG
rnacentral:rRNA from 1 species